GGCCCCAUCGUCUAGUGGUUCAGGACGCAUGGUUCUCAGCCAUGUAACACCGGUUCAAAUCCGGUUGGGGCCGCAA
rnacentral:tRNA from 1 species